ACGGCUCAGUAACACGUCGAUAAUCUGCCCUAAGGUUGAGGAUACCCACGGAAAACUGUGGUUAAUACUUGAUAUUGAAUGGAUUCUGGAACGAGCCAUUCAUUAAACGUAAGGCCUUAGGAUGAGUCGGCGGCGGAUUAGGCAGUUGGCGGUGUAACGGACCACCAAACCAAAGAUCCGCAGGGGCCCUGAGAGGGGUAGCCCCGAGAGGGACACUGAAAUACUGGUCCCAGCUCCACGGAGUGCAGCAGGCGCGAAACCUCCACAAUGCGCGAAAGCGUGAUGGGGGGAUUCCGAGUGCUUACAUUUUAUGUAAGCUUUUGCCAAGAGUUCACAUCUUGGAGAAUAAGUGGUGGGUAAGACCGGUGCCAGCAGCCGCGGUAACCCCGGCGCCACGAGUGGCAAUCUUAUAUUGGGCCUAAAGCAUUCGUAGCAGGUUUGAAAAAUUCCUUGUGAAAUUGUUGAACUCAAUACAACAGCGUGCAGAGAACACUUUCAGACUAGAGACUGGGAGGAGUUGGGGGUAUGCCUUGGGGAGCGGUUAAAUGUGAUAAUCCAAGGUAGACCACCUGCGGCGAAGGCGCCCAACUAGAACAGUUCUGACUGUGAGGGAUGAAAGCUAGGGUAGCGAUCCGGAUUAGAUACCCGAGUAGUCCUAGCUGUAAACACUGUGAGCUAGGUGUCGCAUAUUCUACGAGAAUAUGCGGUGUCGAAAAGAAGUUGAUAAGCUCACCG
rnacentral:rRNA from 1 species